rnacentral:rRNA from 1 species
AUUGAACGCUGGCGGCAUGCCUUACACAUGCAAGUCGAACGGCAGCGCGGGAGCAAUCCUGGCGGCGAGUGGCGAACGGGUGAGUAAUACAUCGGAACGUGCCCAAUCGUGGGGGAUAACGCAUCGAAAGCUGUGCUAAUACCGCAUACGAUCUACGGAUGAAAGCAGGGGAUCGCAAGACCUUGCGCGAAUGGAGCGGCCGAUGGCAGAUUAGGUAGUUGGUGAGGUAAAGACUCACCAAGCCUUCGAUCUGUAGCUGGUCUGAGAGGACGACCAGCCACACUGGGACUGGGACACGGCCCAGACUCCUACGGGAGGCAGCAGUGGGGAAUGUUGGACAAUGGGCGAAAGCCUGAUCCAGCCAUGCCGCGUGCAGGAUGAAGGCCUUCGGGUUGGAAACUGCUUUUGUACGGAACGAAACGGUCUUGUCUAAUAAAGAAGGCUAAUGACGGUACCGGAAGAAUAAGCACCGGCUAACUACGUG